GCUGGCUACCAUGCAGAUAAUGUCAAAGGAGGAGGAAUAAAAUAUAAGAGGUAUCAAUAGGAAGCUUGAAUUUCCUGAGAGUGGAGAGUCAUGAGAUCUGCUCGUCUUUCAAUGUGUGCUUAAGAUGCCAUGCCUUUGAAGAGACAGGACACCAAGUGCAGGAUAACAUCCAUUGUUUCACACCAUGGAAAUAUAGCCUAUUUUAAGCCAUGCAAAGCAGUGAAAUAGCCAAGUCAGGAAAGAAGAGAAAAGGGACAGAGCUUCAAGGAGAAGCCAUAAAACUUCCAAAUGCACUAGACUCUCAGUGGUGAGUGUGUCCUCAAGAAUAGUUGAAAACAGGAUUUGCAUCAUUCCAUGUAAAACAGGAGUGAGUGAGUAACCUAUGGGAGAAGGUGUGUGCUGAUCCAGGUGGCAAUCCCCA
rnacentral:lncRNA from 1 species